GGCUGCCUGGUUUGAGGAACUCACAGAGGAAAUGCCUCACUUGGUCUGGGAUUGCAGGGGCAGCCCACUGCAGGUUCAGGACGCUCCCUGGCUGCCUGGGUUUGGCUCCAGGGCAAAAAUGACCCUGCUCUCCAGGCCUGCAUCCUGGGAAAGGUCAUGGCUGGACACUGAGGCCCAGGAAAGCUCAGAAGCCCACAUUUCCUGUCCCAUCCUAGCUACCUGCACCCCCUUUUCUGAUUGCAGCCCAGCAUUUUACUCUAAAGAGAAAAGAAAAACAACUCAUUUGUUUUAAUAUUCAUAGCAUCUCUUCAUGAGCGAAUACUCUUCCCUGUACUGUAAAGGGAAUUUUGAUUGUUAGUUUCUUUUCCUUCUUCCCUAGCAAAACCCCCAGUGUCCCCAAGGUGGUUUCCGACUAGACGUGGCACUCGGGCAAAGAGGCAGAAGACUGCAGAAAUCAUUGACAGGUACAGCCUUGUUAGUGGUGGGACUUGAUCUCCUCCGUGACGUUAAUUCUGCCUGCUCGGCCCUCCUGUUCAACUCUGGGUGAGUUUUCCUCUCUCCCAGACCACUCCACUGCCCUCUCCAACCCUCCCGUCUUCGGACCUGGCCCAGCCAGCCUUUCCCAUGCCAGGUUACCUCAAUCCCCACAUCUUCAGGAGUCACCCCAGGUCUGGCUCCUGGUGCACAGGCACGUACCCUGCUUCCCAAAACCUCCGCACAAUUCACCAACCCCACUUGUCUCCAAGACUGGACCCUUGAGCAUCCCCUGUGUCAUUCUGUGACUCUGGCAUGAAAAACACUGUCUUUCAUCCAUGCAAGACUCUGCAGGCUGGCCACCCUGCCAGGUGGCUCUUCUCCAGGCUCUGCCCACACGGCAUUUUUGGAAACAGAAUUUGUCGUGGUUCCUUUUCAAGCAAGACACUCAUGUCAUGCUUUGGCGUUCAGUCACAGAACUAACUCACGUCGAAGGGGGAGGUAGUUACCCGUGAAGCCUCUGGCUGGGCUUUCCUGGGCCCCGUUUCCAUGAACACUAUUAAAGCUGGCAGCUUUUUUUUCUUCCUGACACCCUGAGCUGUAUACAGCUACAAGUGAAACCUGGCUGUUUUGCAUGUGUUUGGGGGCCACCCCGCCAGGUGGUUGUUCUGGAACACUCCAGCUGGUCUCAUCUCUGUGAAACGCCCCUCUCCCUGGCCACCAGAGGAAGAUCAAUGGGAGAACAACACAGAAAAUACUUCCCACCGCUAGGACUUACCAACACGGAGCAUUUGAUCGUCCAAGGGCACAGACAGCCAUGCUGUAGACUGAAAUCUCUGAACUUCCCAGUGCCCAAGAGGCCCAACCACGAUUUGGAGAGCCUUCAAGAGCCCCCAACCCCCCCACCCCACGUCACUCAGCAGGAAAGAAGGAAGUGGUGAGCCACGGGGUAGCAGGACCGAAGAAUGUGGUCUCCAUCCCACCCCCCAGCAGCUGCAACACCGAUCAACCACAGCUCCAGGCCUAGAAAAGCAGUAAAACCAGGUGAGCAACACCGGGACCAGCUGCAGUGAUAACGGCCCCCUGCCUGGGUACUGACCAAUCAGAGGAGACCACGGCUCUGAAAGGACGCACCUGGAGAACCGAUGGGUAUUCUGCUGAGACCCUCCCCUGAGAUUCCUGCCUGCAAGAGAUAAAAGCCUCAACACAAAGGCCCCAGCACACACGCCAUUCCCUCCUUUUUCCUCCACUUCUUUCAACCCAGGCGGGCGUCUCCUAAACUCUCAGGCAAUGGGCAGCUGGCAGCUUGUCCCUGGCUACUCCCCUGAACCUGUCCCCAAGGCCGCCUUUUCUCUCUGACUUCCCAGUGAGCUAAGGCAGCCCAGCCUCAGCUCUCCUGGGGCAUCCUCUAUGCCAGGCCUUUCCUUGUUUCGCUGUCUGCAGCUUUAAUAAAUCGA